CCUACGGGAGGCUGCAGUGAGGAAUAUUGGUCAAUGGACGAGAGUCUGAACCAGCCAAGUAGCGUGAAGGAUGACUGCCCUAUGGGUUGUAAACUUCUUUUAUAUGGGAAUAAAAUGUUCCACGUGUGGGAUUUUGUAUGUACCAUAUGAAUAAGGAUCGGCUAACUCCGUGCCAGCAGCCGCGGUAAUACGGAGGAUCCGAGCGUUAUCCGGAUUUAUUGGGUUUAAAGGGAGCGUAGGUGGAUUGUUAAGUCAGUUGUGAAAGUUUGGGGCUCAACCGUAAGAUUGCAGUUGACACUGGCAGUCUUGAGUACGGUAGAGGUGGGCGGAAUUCGUGGUGUAGCGGUGAAAUGCUUAGAUAUCACGAAGAACUCCGAUUGCGAAGGCAGUUCACUGGACUGCAACUGACACUGAGGCACGAAAGUGUGGGUAUCAAACAGGAUUAGAUACCCCUGUAGUC
rnacentral:rRNA from 1 species